UUGAAAAUGGAGCCAGUUGUAUCGACA
rnacentral:piRNA from 1 species